GGGCCCGCACAAGCGGUGGAGCAUGUGGUUUAAUUCGAUGCAACGCGAAGAACCUUACCAGGUCUUGACAUCCAGAGAACCUUUAGGAAACUAGAGGGUGCCUUCGGGAGCUCUGAGACAGGUGGUGCAUGGUUGUCGUCAGCUCGUGUCGUGAGAUGUUGGGUUAAGUCCCGCAACGAGCGCAACCCUUGCUAUUAGUUGCUAACAGGUUAAGCUGAGCACUCUAAUGGGACCGCCCGUGACAAGCGGGAGGAAGGUGGGGAUGACGUCAAAUCAUCAUGCCCUUUAUGAUCUGGGCUACACACGUGCUACAAUGGAUGGUACAGAGAGCAGCGAAGCUGUGAAGUGGAGCGAAUCUCAAAAAGCCAUUCUCAGUUCGGAUUGUAGUCUGCAACUCGACUACAUGAAGUCGGAAUCGCUAGUAAUCGCGAAUCAGCAUGUCGCGGUGAAUGCGUUCCCGGGCCUU
rnacentral:rRNA from 1 species